UACAGAGACCUCAAGCGUUAUCCGGAAUCAUUGGGCGUAAAGCGUACCGAUAGGUGGUUUAGAAAGUCAGAAGUGAAAUCUCUCAGCUUAACUGGGAGACUGUCUUUUGAAACUUCUAAACUAGAGGGGCAAAGAGGAAGCUGGAACGAACGGUGUAGUAGUGAAAUGCGUUGAUAUCGUUCGGAACACCAAUAGCGUAGGCAAGCUUCUGGGUGCCACCUGACACUGCUAGGACGAAAGCGUGGGGAGCGAAUGGG
rnacentral:rRNA from 1 species